rnacentral:rRNA from 1 species
GUAGGUGGCAAGCGUUGUCCGGAUUUAUUGGGUUUAAAGGGUGCGUAGGCGGUCCCAUAAGUCAGUGGUGAAAUACUCUAGCUUAACUAGAGGGGUGCCAUUGAUACUGCGGGACUUGAGUGGAGUUGAAGUGGGCGGAAUUGACGGUGUAGCGGUGAAAUGCUUAGAUGUCGUCAAGAACACCGAUAGUGAAGACAGCUCACUAAGCUCAAACUGACGCUGAGGCACGAAAGUGUGGGGAUCAAACAGGAUUAGAUACCCUGGUAGUCCACACUGUAAACGUUGAUUACUCGCUGUUGGCGAUACACAGCCAGCGGCUAAGCGCAAGCGAUAAGUAAUCCACCUGGGGAGUACGCCGGCAACGGUG